rnacentral:rRNA from 1 species
UACGUAGGGGGCGAGCGUUGUCCGGAAUUACUGGGCGUAAAGAGAGCGUAGGCGGCACUACAAGUCUCAUGUGAAAUACCCGGGCUUAACUUGGGGGUUGCAUGGGAAACUGUAGAGCUUGAGUACAGGAGAGGCAAGCGGAAUUCCUAGUGUAGCGGUGAAAUGCAUAGAUAUUAGGAGGAACACCAGUGGCGAAGGCGGCUUGCUGGACUGAAACUGACGCUGAGGCUCGAAAGCGUGGGGAGCGAACAGG